rnacentral:rRNA from 1 species
GAUGAACGCUGGCGGCAUGCCUAAUACAUGCAAGUCGAACGGAAGGAAGUAGAAGCUUGCUUCUAUGGAAUUCAGUGGCGAACGGGUGAGUAACACGUAGGUAACCUGCCCAUGUGCCCGGGAUAACUUCUGGAAACGGAUGCUAAAACCGGAUAGGUAAAGGGAUCGCAUGAUCGCUUUAUUAAAGGGGCUAUGGCCCUGAACAUGGAUGGACCUGCGGUGCAUUAGCUAGUUGGUGAGGUAACGGCCCACCAAGGCGACGAUGCAUAGCCGACCUGAGAGGGGGAACGGCCACAAUGGGACUGAGACACGGCCCAAACUCCUACGGGAGGCAGCAGUAGGGAAUUUUCGUCAAUGGGGGGAACCCUGAACGAGCAAUGCCGCGUGAGUGAAGACGGUCUUCGGAUUGUAAAGCUCUGUUGUAAGAGAAAAACGGCGCAUAUAGGGAAUGAUAUGCGAGUGAUGGUAUCUUACCAGAAAGUCACGGCUAACUACGUGCCAGCAGCCGCCGUAACAC